rnacentral:sRNA from 1 species
ACCUGAGGGGUCUUCUGGGGGCUCUUGCCUUCUCUCCCACUUCCCGGGGCUUCUGGGAGAGCAGUCUGUCUAAAAGCCCCGGCUCUUGCCA